rnacentral:rRNA from 1 species
CGAACGCUGGCGGCGUGCUUAACACAUGCAAGUCGAACGGUGAAGCGCCUUCCUUUUUGGUGGGUGUGGAUGAGUGGCGAACGGGUGAGUAACACGUGAGUAACCUGCCCCCUUCUUCUGGAUAACCGCAUGAAAGUGUGGCUAAUACGGGAUAUUCUGGGUCUGUCGCAUGAUGGGUCUGGGAAAGAUAUUGUUUCGGUGGGGGAUGGGCUCGCGGCCUAUCAGCUUGUUGGUGGGGUGAUGGCCUACCAAGGCGGUGACGGGUAGCCGGCCUGAGAGGGUGGACGGUCACACUGGGACUGAGACACGGCCCAGACUCCUACGGGGGGCAGCAGUGGGGAAUAUUGCACAAUGGGCGCAAGCCUGAUGCAGCGACGCCGCGUGAGGGAUGGAGGCCUUCGGGUUGUGAACCUCUUUCGCCAGUGAAGCAGGCCUGCCUCGUUUGUGGGUGGGUUGACGGUAGCUGGAUAAGAAGCGCCGGCUAACUACGUG